rnacentral:miRNA from 1 species
GGGAGUUCUGGCGUUUGAAAACGGAGUUCUGUUCAGAACUCCGUUUUCAAACGCCAGAACUAAUGC